AUGGAGCAGACUGGGGAAUCUCAGAGGGAAAUCGUGGUCGGGUGGGAGAGUGGGAAGAGGUCACCCUACAAACUCUGCUCACAGCACAACCCUCAGGUGGACUGGAGCUGUAGAACCCUCCUCCUGGUGGCCAUGUUGACAGGUGUCCACUCCCAGGUGCAGCUGGUGCAGUCUGGGGCUGAGGUGCGGAAGCCUGGGGCCUCCGUGAAGGUCUCCUGCAAGACUUCUGGAUACACCUUCACCAGCUAUGCUAUGCACUGGGUGCGACAGGCCCCAGGACAGGGGUUUGAGUGGGUGGGGAGGGUUAACCCUUACAAUGGAAACACAAACUAUUCACAGAAGUUAAAAGGCAGAGUCUCCAUGACAAUAAACAGGUCCACUUCCAUGAGCACAGCCUACAUGGAGCUCAGCAGCCUGAGAGCCAAGGACACAGCCGUGUAUUACUAUGCAAGAGGCACAGUGGGGGAAGUCAGUCUGAGCUCCCUGACCACCGAGGACAUGGCCGUGUAUACUGUGCAAGAGACACAGUGA